rnacentral:rRNA from 1 species
GAUGAACGCUGGCGGCGUGCCUAACACAUGCAAGUCGAGCGGCAGCGCACCCUUCGGGGUGGCGGCGAGCGGCGGACGGCUGAGUAACACGUAGGAAUGUACCCCAAAGUGAGGAAUAACUGCCCGAAAGGGUAGCUAAUGCCGCAUAUUAUCUUCGGAUCAAAGGCUUCGGCCGCUUUGGGAACAGCCUGCGUACGAUUAGAUAGUUGGUGAGGUAACGGCUCACCAAGUCGACGAUCGUUAGCUGGUCUGAGAGGAUGAUCAGCCACACUGGGACUGAGACACGGCCCAGACUCCUACGGGAGGCAGCAGUGGGGAAUAUUGGACAAUGGGCGAAAGCCUGAUCCAGCAAUGCCGCGUGAGUGAUGAAGGCCUUAGGGUUGUAAAGCUCUUUUACCCGGGAUGAUAAUGACAGUACCGGGAGAAUAAGCUCCGGCUAACUCCGUGCCAGCCGCCGCGGUAA